CCCCUCCUAAAUAAUAAAUUUGUUAAUCAUAUUUUGUUUUUUAGUCAUAAUUUUUAAAAAUAAAAUGUGUAAACAGGUGUCCUAUUGUUACUGGAUAUGGAAAGAGAAUGGUUGUUUCCCUUACCUAAUGUAGGAACAUGUUUAAGAUCUCUUCUUUACUGUCUGUCUAAUCCCCAUCCCCACCCAUGGAAUGACAGUAACAAUUAAAUAUAAAAAACUAGCAGUAAUGCUAGAAUUUUUUUAGUUGUCAUGUCCUAGUCUAAACACAAAAUUACAAAAAAAAAUUCUCUUGCUGGCCACAGGGUAUCUACUUUGAAGUCUGCAAUAUGUGUUCUUCCAUUGUUAUAGUACUACAUCAACUUGUAUAAUCUGGACAUUGUUAACUCAACAAGAAAGCUGUGAACUCUCCUUUAUUAGCUUUUAAAGAACACUGGAUAUUUAGUUGUAGCUUUAAAAGCUAGAAUCUUAAACAAGGGCAUUUUGUGAGAGGAUACUUGGGUACCCCACUCUUAUUAAAAGGUCUGAAAAGAUAACUCCAGUUCAGCUGGGAAAAUAAUAAUUCUUUUAUAGAGAGUAUACAUGUACGUACCCUGUGGGAAAACAUUACCUUAUAGGCAGAAACUUCUCAUUGUUUAUUUCAAAGAUUUAGUAAAUGUAUCUUUUACUAAGAAUCUCAGAAUACUGGUAAUUCAUUUCUAUUGUGAUGAACUAGAAUUACUAUUCAGAAAUGAGUAAAGUUAAAAUUGACAAUUUUCUUUAUGAAGUUUCUAAAACAGAAAAUACAUUCCCCUAAAUAACAACAUUUAAUUGAAUCAGCCACCCAAACCUCUUCCCUCUCAAUUUCCUGUACUUGUAUAUUCUACACCUCGUAUCUGAUCACUUCAUUUUUUCCCUAUUUGUUCUUAACUUUGUUAGGCACUCUAUGGAAACAACUUUAGAGCUCCCAACAGCCUUAUUAAUCUCAUUUUAAGGAAGCAAACUGAAGCACAGUUUAAAUAACUUGUCCAGUGUCAAGAGCUACUAAAUUGCAAAACGAAGCUAUAAAUCAGCCAGUCGCACUGCAGUUAUACUCACUGCCUCCUAAGUACCCUAACAUAUUUAAGCCAUUCCCAACUGGUAUACAUUUAUUUCUUUAGUUUUUUGUUUUGUUUUGUUUGUACAGUGCGUUUAUUUAAGAGUUACUAAUGUCACCACUGUGAUUGCUCCCAAUAAACAUUUCGGGUACUCAUUUCCUAAUUCUAGCAGCAUGGCUGGGUCAGAGGAUGUGUCUUAAACUCCUUUUAAGUCUCAGUUCAGUGAUAAUUGCAACUAGCUAGUAUUCCUGAUUGCCCAGUUUAAACAUACUUGAAGCAGAAAACUAAUAUGGGGUAAGAUGAAGUAACACAUUUAGUCAGCAACAAAAUACGAGUUUGCUGAACUACAUGGAAUGGUAACAAAAACUAUUAAGGAGGAAAAAUAAAAUAAAGAGUUCAAAAAGCACUACAGUCUUGGGCUAACUACUGGCAGUAAUAAAAAACCCCAUGGAACUAAUAGCUCCUGAGAGUAUUGCUUUAUGUUAGUGCAGUAGAAUCUGCCUCUUAACUUACUUAUUACAAAUUACUUUUACAUAUUCUAUUUUUAAAGAGAGUACUAAAGUAUUAAAUAUAUUUUAGAAAAUUUUCCAUCAACCUAUCUCAUACCACACUUAAAAAACAAAUGAGAACUAAAAACAUAUAAAUGUUGACAUUAGAAUGAAUUAAAAUACAUAAAUAUGAAAUAAUUAUAAAGUAUAAUAAUUAAACAGUAUUAAAAGGAAAUAGAAAAGGAUUUUUUAUUUGUAAAGAUUUUCUCAAGAGUGAAAACCCAAAGCUAUUAACUACAGAACUAUAAAUGUGAUUACAUAAAAAUGUAAAACUUCACUAAGAAAGUCCACAAAAUUUAAAAAAUGCUAAUAUAAGGAUAAUAUAUAUACAUAUGUAUUUAUUUUUUAAUUUUAAUUUUUUUUGGUGUCAUUAAUAUACACGUACAUGAACAAUAUUGUGCUUACUAGACUCCCAACCCCUUCUCAAAUCCCCACCACAUACCCCAUUACAGUCACUGUCCAUCAGCGUAGUAAGAUGCUACAGAAUCACUACUUGUUUUCUCUGUACUAUACUGCCUUCCCUGUGUCCCCCCUCACACACACACAUUAUGUGUGCUAAUCAUAAUGCCCCUUUUUCCUCUUAUCCCUCCCUUCCCACCCAUCCUACCCAGUCGCUUUCCCUAAUUGUUAAGUCCAUUCUUGGGUUCUGUGAGUCUGCUGCUCUUUUGUUCCUUUAGUUUUUGCUUUGUUUUAAUACUCCACAGAUGAGGGAAAUCAUUUCAUACUUGUCUUUCUCCACCUGGCUUAUUUCACCAAGCAUAAUACUCUCUAGCUCCAUCCAUGUUGUUGCAAAUAGUAGGGUUUGUUUUCUUCUUAUGGCUGAAGAAUAUUCUAUUGUGUGUAUGUACCACAUCUUCUUUAUCCAUUCAUCUACUGAUGGGCACUUAGGUUGCUUCCACUUCUUGGCUAUUGUAAAUAUUGUAGGACUAAAUGAGGGUUUCCAUUUAAAUAUAAAGUAACUGAAAGCAGGGAUGGUUCUACUGUCAGAUGCCUUCAGCAAUAUAAAUCAUGUAUAAAUUAAAAUUUUAAAUUAACCUUACUGUAAUGAUAGACAUAUUCUUUUAUUCUCUUUUACUUCAUCAAUCUGUAGGCUACCUGCAACUCUUUCUCCUUACUCCCACCUCCACAUUGGACUGGAAGUAAAUUUGAUUUUCUUCUAAAAGAAUGAUUUGUUCAUUUUGUAACAUAUUCAGAAACCAAUGACUCAGCAACACAUUAGUCUAAAUUCCUCAGCCUGAUAUUAAAUACCUUCCAGAGUGAUCCUGAAAUCCCUUCGAUGUCCCUCUUCCAUGAACUAAUUCAAGUGGUUUAGUCACGGACUGUACUGCUUUUUUGCCAGGAUGUUCUUUGUCAAAAUCUUUCUGCUUGAGUUGUCUUUUCUUCUUACUAAAAUACUAGCCACUGGAACUUAGCUUAAGUCACAAACUUAAUUCCCCAACCCAUAAACUGAAUAUCCUCUAUUUGGGAUUGUUUUGUCUUCUGAAUUCCAUUAUUUUCUGUAACAUUUAUUUGCCACUUAUAUAUUAUCUCCUUAAAUACAGUAACUUUUUUUCAACUAGCUUAUAAACUACUUAGGAACAAUGGUUGUCUUUCUUCUUGUUAUCUCUCAAGUAAGUAUAAUCAGUGUAUGAGUAGAAACAUAAAAGUUACAAGGUAUAUGUGACCUUAGAUGUUCCUAACCUAACUGUACCAUUUCUUCAACCUCAAAAUGUGAUAAGAUAAUCCAUUUCAGUGGGCUGGAGUGAGAAUUGAGUUUCCACAGAUAGUGUGAAAUAGUUCUGAGUGUGUAAGUACUAUAUUGUGUUUGUUUUCAUGAUUAUCAGCACCCAAGAAUUUAAAAAGCCCAGAACAACCUAAAAUUAGUUUACAUAGUUGUUAGAGACCUAUCCAAAGAAUUGGAUUUAUAAAUGUGUGACAGAUGCAAUCACAGAAUACUAUAAUGUCCAAUCCCUGCAUAUGCCCAGGAUAAAGAACUAUAUGUAAUCGCAUUAACUAGGCAGAUCUAGCUACCCAAAAGACAUUGUCCAUGUUCCUGCUGGAUGCCAUAUGCUAAAUUAAGUUCUCAUAAGAAAGGUAAGAGUACCUUCAUGCAGGGAACUCAAAAUUAUUAGGAAAGAAGAUACAGUACACCACCAAACACAAAAAGGUUUGAUGACUUAUGCCACCCUUAUCAUGUUGGGAGUAGGUAAUAGAAGGAAAUCUGAGAAAGCUUCUUAAAGCAACAAAACCUUAAAGGAAAAAUACAGAGAAGCAAAGGGACCAUUAUAUGCAAAACAUCGGGAAGGCUGUAAAUAACCCGGCAGAAGUAAUAAUGUUGUAACUAAAUAAUGGUUCACAUAAUACAGAAAAAAAAGGAAAUACUAAAAAAUCACCCAAUUUCUGCAAAGAACUGAGCUCAGUUACUAUCAUCCCUUUGUGACUCUUUCUGAGCAGAAAAUCAACCUUCCACUUUAUUGAUGCAUAUUAACACCUGACAUGAUGAUUUGCAUAUGACUGAUGGUGAUUUUGAUUGAGGGAAAAGAUGCUCAAGGACAGUUUUUUGUUGUUAUUUUUUCACUUGUCCACUCUUCUGACCUAUGUAAUCCAUUUAUCCAGUAUCAAAAACACACAGACAUACAGUCCACGGUUCUCACACUGAGCCCUUGCUUAGUCAAA